rnacentral:rRNA from 1 species
AACGGCAUGGGAAGGCCGGUCAGAGAGUGUGAGAACCACGUAGGUGAAAACGACAAGAGCUGAGCGAGUUCCAGAGUACGGCCAGACACGUGAAACCUGGUCGGAAGAUGGGGGGACCACCCUCCAACCCUAAAUACUACCCAGUGACCGAUAGCGUAUAGUACUGUGAAGGAAAGGUGAAAAGCACCCCGGGAGGGGAGUGAAAAAGAACCUGAAACCCUGUGCCUACAAGCACCUAGAGCACGUCAAUGUGUGAUAGGGUACUUUUUGUAGAACGGUCCGGCGAGCGAUUGUAUGCAGCAAGGUUAAGGACUUAAGGUCUGGAGCCGAAGCGAAAGCGAGUUUGAAAAGGGCGUUAAGUUGCAUACAAUGGGCCCGAAACCGGGUGACCUACCCAUGGUCAGGUUGAAGUGGAAGUAAAAUUCCAUGGAGGACCGAACCGACCUCCGUUGAAAAGGCGGCGGAUGAACUGUGGGUAGCGGAGAAAUUCCAAUCGAACCCGGAGAUAGCUGGUUCUCCCCGAAAUAGUUUUAGGACUAGCCUCAAGUUAGAUACCUGGAGGUAAAGCACUGAAUAGCCUAGCGGCCGAGAGGUUAGCGAAGCUUAUCAAACUCAGAAUGCCAGAGUAUUGAUGCUUGGGAGUCAGACAGUGUCAGAUAAAUGUCAUUGUCAAAAGGGAAACAGCCCAGAUCUACAGCUAAGGUCCCAAAGUCAGGUUAAGUGGAAAACGAUGUGAAGAUACGCAGACAACCAGGAUGUUGGCUCAGAAGCAGCCACUCAUUCAAAGAGUGCGUAAUAGCUCACUGGUCGAGCGUCUUUGCGCGGAGAAUUUAACGGGGCUAAACCUGACACCGAAGCUUAGGCAAUACAGCAAUGUAUUGGGUAGGGGAGCGUUGUAUACGCGGAGAAACAGUAGCGUAAGCGGCUGUGGAGUGUAUAGAAGUGAGAAUGCCGGAAUGAGUAGCGCGAAUGCAGUGAGAAUCUGCAUGGCCGAAAGCCUCAGGUUUCUGGAGGAAGGUUCGUCCGCUCCAGGUUAGUCGGGAGCUAAGGUGAGGCCUAACGGCGUAGCCGAUGCACAGACGGUAGAGAUUCCGUCACCACCAAAAGAGUUAAACACAGGGACACAUUUGAAGUCUCGGAGCCGGGUGUUGGUUCCGGUAGCGAUCGAGGGAAAUUAGUACCGAAGUCCGGGAUGGAAGAUGGCGAGAAAAGCUGUGUGUAUUUCUGCGGUGCCCGUACCGCAAACCGACACAGGUAGGUAGGAAGAAGAUUCUAAGGCCAACGGGAGAAGGGUUGUUAAGGAACUCGGCAAAUUGACCCCGUAACUUCGGGAGAAGGGGUGCUCCAGAGAUGGAGCCGCAGAGAAUCGGCCCAAGCAACUGUUUACCAAAAACACAGGUUUGUGCUAAAUCGAAAGAUGACGUAUACGAGCUGACGCCUGCCCGGUGCUGGAAGGUUAAGAGGAGAUGUGCAAGCAUUGAAUCGAAGCCCCAGUGAACGGCGGCCGUAACUAUAACGGUCCUAAGGUAGCGAAAUUCCUUGUCAGGUAAG